rnacentral:rRNA from 1 species
UACAGAGGUCCCAAGCGUUGUUCGGAUUCACUGGGCGUAAAGGGUGCGUAGGCGGUCGGGUAAGUCUGAUGUGAAAUCUCACGGCUUAACUGUGAAACUGCAUUGGAUACUAUCCGGCUAGAGGAAUGGAGGGGAGACUGGAAUACUUGGUGUAGCAGUGAAAUGCGUAGAUAUCAAGUGGAACACCAGUGGCGAAGGCGAGUCUCUGGACAUUUCCUGACGCUGAGGCACGAAAGCCAGGGGAGCGAACGGA